rnacentral:rRNA from 1 species
GACGAACGCUGGCGGCGUGCUUAACACAUGCAAGUCGAGCGGUAAGGCCCUUUCGGGGGUACACGAGCGGCGAACGGGUGAGUAACACGUGGGUGACCUGCCUUUAGCUCUGGGAUAAGCCUGGGAAACUGGGUCUAAUACCGGAUAUGACUCCGCGGUGCAUGCUGUGGGGUGGAAAGCCUUGUGCGGCUGGAGAUGGGCCCGCGGCCUAUCAGCUUGUUGGUGGGGUGAUGGCCUACCAAGGCGACGACGGGUAGCCGGCCUGAGAGGGCGACCGGCCACACUGGGACUGAGACACGGCCCAGACCCCUACGGGAGGCAGCAGUGGGGAAUCUUGCGCAAUGGGCGAAAGCCUGACGCAGCGACGCCGCGUGA